rfam:Myotis davidii contig174058, whole genome shotgun sequence.
GCCAAUGUUGCUCAAUGGUUGGAGCAUUGGAUUGUGUGCCAAAGGGUCUCAGGUUUGAUUCCUGGUCAAGGGCA